AUUGGAAACGAUAGCUAAUACCGCAUAAAAGGAGCUAACCCAUGUUAGCUUUUUAAAAGGUGCAACAGCAUCACUUAAAGAUGGACCUGCGUUGUAUUAGCUAGUUGGUAAGGUAACGGCUUACCAAGGCUUCGAUACAUAGCCGACCUGAGAGGGUGAUCGGCCACACUGGGACUGAGACACGGCCCAGACUCCUACGGGAGGCAGCAGUAGGGAAUCUUCGGCAAUGGGGGGAACCCUGACCGAGCAACGCCGCGUGAGUGAAGAAGGUUUUCGGAUCGUAAAGCUCUGUUAUAAGCGAAGAAAAGGAGUAAGAGUGGAAAGUUUACUCUAUGACGGUAGCUUAUCAGAAAGGGACGGCUAACUACGUGCCAGCAGCCGCGGUAAUACGUAGGUCCCGAGCGUUGUCCGGAUUUAUUGGGCGUAAAGCGAGCGCAGGUGGUUUAAUAAGUCUGAAGUUAAAGGCAGUGGCUCAACCAUUGUACGCUUUGGAAACUGUUAAACUUGAGUGCAGAAGGGGAGAGUGGAAUUCCAUGUGUAGCGGUGAAAUGCGUAGAUAUAUGGAGGAACACCGGUGGCGAAAGCGGCUCUCUGGUCUGUAACUGACACUGAGGCUCGAAAGCGUGGGUAGCGAACAGGAUUAGAUACCCUGGUAGUCCACGCCGUAAACGAUGAGUGCUAGGUGUUGGGUCCUUUCCGGGACUCAGUGCCGCAGCUAACGCAUUAAGCACUCCGCCUGGGGAGUACGACCGCAAGGUUGAAACUCAAAGGAAUUGACGGGGGCCCGCACAAGCGGUGGAGCAUGUGGUUUAAUUCGAAGCAACGCGAAGAACCUUACCAGGUCUUGACAUCCCGGUGCCGGUUCUAGAGAUAGAACUUCUCUUAGGAACACUGGAGACAGGUGGUGCAUGGUUGUCGUCAGCUCGUGUCGUGAGAU
rnacentral:rRNA from 1 species